rnacentral:lncRNA from 1 species
AUUUCACUUCAUCGAAAGGCCCAAGUGAAAAUAAUCCUAGAACUCAUGACACGAAAUGCAGUCACCAUGUAUGACUGAAGAACAACACGCGACAGAACGAUGAGCAGUGGAAUUCAUCUCACUAGUGUACAAAAUAAUUGCAGCUUCAUUCA